GGGGAAAUGAUAAGCUGAGAAACAUCAGGAUCAUAAAACACAGAAUAUCAUUCUCAGAAGAGAGUAUGGAAUCAUGUGUGUCUCUUAGACUUGUCAAAGGAAAGAAGGGGAGAAUUUCAGAAUGAAGAUACCUAAAAAAAGCACUCUGCACUUGGAUGAAGAUGCUACUGUGGUUUCUCUCAGUCAAUCACACACACUGAAUUAUUUUCUGAUAGUAGAAGAAUCCCCUGUCCUUCCUUUGACCCUUUGGAUUUGCAUGGCAAAGGACUGAAAUCAGAGUACAUCAUGUGCCAAGGGACCAUGUAUUCCACAACACAAUUUAAGGUGCUUCACAGUCUGCCUAUGACAAUACUUUUCCAGGCUUUGUUCAACUACUUUUUCACAUAUGCUAUGUUAUUGCUAGAUUGAAAUACUUCUAACAUUUUAAAGUACAAAAUACAGAUAGUAGGUACUUAACAGAAAUUUAGUUAAAUGAGAAAUGAAUGAAAAUUGGACUCCAACUCCAGAUGAUGAUGAUCUCAUUAGCACGAUACUUCAACUGAACUGACAAGUCACAAAGAAAUAGCAAUAAAAGAAAAUGGUAUAUUCUGUAAGGUAGAGAAAAGAAUUAGUUUUACUUUGAUAAAAAUAAAAAGGUACAUUUUGACUGAAUGAAAAAAUGUGCCUAAAGGGAGAAUAAAAUCACAUUCAAACUUAAGCAAAAUAGGAUCUUAAUUUUAUUUGCAUGAUAGGGGUUAUAUUGAGAUUCCUUCCUCUCUCAUUCUCUCUCUCUCUCCUU